rnacentral:tRNA from 1 species
GGAGGAUACAGCUCUGUGGUAGAGUGUGUGCUUAGCAUGCAGAAGGUCCUGGGUUCAAUCCUCAGUACCUCUA